UGGACCAAAGGCAUGUGGGACCUCUAGCUUUUCUUACAGCUGCAUGAGACUAUGAUGUUCUCAAACAAGGAUUUUAAUUGAAAAUACUGAGGCAACAUAAUCUGUCCAUGCCAAGUCCAGACCUAGUCCUGAAGCGGUUCGUCCCAUGAGUUCAGCAACAGGGCUGUUUUGUAGCAUAUCCUCCUCAGUCCUGAUCUACUCAGCACACAGGCAUGGAGAACAGGCUCAGUCUCUUCCAUGUCAUGUGCGUUCUGCGCUUUUCCUUCUGGGGGUGAAGACAUCUGUGGUCCACACACACACAUUUGUAACAGUUGCUGAACUCAAAGACACUGUGGAAUCUAUAUCAUCAAACAGUUUAGUGAAGAAAAUAAAAAUACCAUUUAUGAAAUGGAUGGAAAUUCUCUAACAACAAAGCAAAAAGCACCUAGAACAUACAACUGAAAGAGAGCAGAGACCACAGGGUCCAGUCUGUAAACACCAGCUCAAUGUCACCUGACAGGAAACAUCUAUACAAAAUCGAAGGACCCUGUCUAUCACCUCAAAUGUCAUGUGUGUCCCAGGAUGCUCUCCUACAAAGCCUCACUGAGAUUAUUUGGGAACUAAUGAAAAAUCUGAAUCAAAGACAAGUUUUAAGCAAAAGGUAUUUCCUUAAUUUCAAUUAUGAUAAACGUCUCUCAAUUUACACGUCAUAGUUAGUGAUGUUUUGACGCUCUUAGUAAAGGCAGGAUGUAAGGGAUCUCCAACUUAGCUUUUUUCUUUUUAAUUCAACAGAUACAAUUUCACAGCCUUAGUAUAUCUGGUAUCAGUGAUAGCAUUUAAAAGGCUUGAUCAUCAACGGUGCAGCCUGAGUACACCAAGAGCCUUACAUCACACGCUGAAUGCAAUUAUAAUUUAUAAUCUGUUAGCUCAAUUAAAUCAGGCACACAAAAAUAGAUGAGACCCACCACUUGAGAAUUCUUUAAGGAUCAUCAUUCUAACUCAAUUUUAAAAUAACAACAUUUAUUUUUUUCAGAAAUACUAUGGCUGAACUUCUUAUAAACCCUGAUAGUCUAAUUUUGUGUAAUUUAGCUACAGUCGGUACAGAGUAAGGGGUAGCCAGAGGGCCUCUCAAAGUCUCUUUUAAAGAAGGUCAGAAAUAUUUUAUUAACAAUUAAUUCACUGGCUUCAAUUUAAAUGUGCACUUUUAUAGCAGUCUCAGUAACUUGAAAACAGGUCACUCAAAGUCCCCACAUUUUGUUUUUACAGGAAGUACAGAAACUGCCUUGAGCUCUACUUAAGUGGAUGAGAACACAGAUUUCCACACAUUACCACUGAUAAAAUAAGUAGUAGUUUGUUUGAAUACAUGUGGCUUAUUUUUUAAAAUGAAUCUACGGCGAGUUCUAAGGAAUUUUAUUAAAUGAACUAGGCCAAGGGUUGCCAGCGCUUUUCUUGGGGAACGUCACAAAUGUUCCUAGGCACACAUCAUCUCAGAUACACAUGCCCACAUGGUGCCGCUCAUCAUGUUACACAGUUGAACCAUUUCAACAGAAGCUCAGAUCCACUGGGCUGUGCUCCUUUUGGAACUGCAUAAAUCUAAAAUGAACUAAACGUAAAACAAUAUUUAACAUUCUUAUACAAUCCCUUCCACAGUAUUUGAACAUUAAAUUUCAGCAAGUAACAAUGCACACUUUUUAUUAGUACUUUAUUUUAAAAUUUAAUAUGCCAAGCUAUGAUAUAGAAUCAAAAUGGACAUAGGAAAAUUAAACAGAGCCAGGAGUCCUCCACAGCACAGGCAUUCCUCAUGCUACAGAGAGCUGUCUCUCCCUUUCUACAAACCAACUGCUUAUAAGUUCAAACAAUGACUGAGUAUUAAUAUUUCAUAAGAACACUCUAGAGAGAGCAAUCUCUCUGCAAGACUAAAAUGCAUACCUUUGUGACUAGGAAACGACUACACACAGAAAAUGUAAGAACAGAAACUCUUGUGUAGCCACUGCCCGGAUUCCACUCCUCACGGCCGAGGACUAGUGCAGAGGGGGAUAAAAAGAAUGUACAGACCACAGCUCUGCACUGCAGGAGUUCAAAGAUCAGUGUUUUAUUUCAUGCAAAGCAUACUAAAGUAACACACUUAGCCAUCUCCACAACGUAUCUUCCGUCAGAAUGUGAGGCGACAGAGUCACAGCACCUGGCUCAUAUGCGUAUCCCAGGCACAAGUGACUGCACAGCUGUGGAAAGCCUCAGCUCAAAUAUCAAAAAUUCCUGAUAUAAUAAUAAAAUGGUGUAAACUU
rnacentral:lncRNA from 1 species